CUCACUAGUCGAGUCGGCCUGCGCGGAAGAUGUAACGGGGCUCAAACCACACACCGAAGCUGCGGGUGUCACGUAAGUGACGCGGUAGAGGAGCGUUCUGUAAGCCUGUGAAGGUGAGUUGAGAAGCUUGCUGGAGGUAUCAGAAGUGCGAAUGCUGACAUGAGUAACGACAAUGGGUGUGAAAAACACCCACGCCGAAAGACCAAGGGUUCCUGCGCAACGUUAAUCGACGCAGGGUUAGUCGGUUCCUAAGGCGAGGCUGAAAAGCGUAGUCGAUGGGAAACAGGUUAAUAUUCCUGUACUUCUGGUUACUGCGAUGGAGGGACGGAGAAGGCUAGGCCAGCUUGGCGUUGGUUGUCCAAGUUUAAGGUGGUAGGCUGAAAUCUUAGGUAAAUCCGGGGUUUCAAGGCCGAGAGCUGAUGACGAGUCGUCUUUUAGAUGACGAAGUGGUUGAUGCCAUGCUUCCAAGAAAAGCUUCUAAGCUUCAGGUAACCAGGAACCGUACCCCAAACCGACACAGGUGGUCGGGUAGAGAAUACCAAGGCGCUUGAGAGAACUCGGGUGAAGGAACUA
rnacentral:rRNA from 1 species